CUAGCGACUUCAGAGUUUGAUCCUGCUCAGGACAACGCUGGCGGCGUGCCUAACACAUGCAAGUCGAACGGGGUCAGCCCUUCGGGACUGACUUAGUGGCGAACGGGUGAGUAACGCGUGAGGAACCUGCCUCUCAGUGGGGACAACAGUUGGAAACGACUGCUAAUACCGCAUAAAGUAUCCGAAGGGCAUCCUUUGGAUACCAAAGAUUUAUUGCUGAGAGAUGGCCUCGCGUCUGAUUAGAUAGUUGGUGAGGUAACGGCUCACCAAGUCGACGAUCAGUAGCCGGUCUGAGAGGAUGAACGGCCACAUUGGGACUGAGAUACGGCCCAG
rnacentral:rRNA from 1 species